UACGGAGGGUGCAAGCGUUAUCCGGAUUUAUUGGGUUUAAAGGGUGCGUAGGCGGCUUAAUAAGUCGGGGGUUAAAGGUAGUCGCUUAACGAUUUUACAUGCCCUCGAUACUGUUUAGCUUGAGUAAUUUGGAGGUAGCUAGAAUUCCCUGUGUAGCGGUGAAAUGCAUAGAUACGGGGAGGAAUACCGAUUGCGAAGGCACGUUACUACAAACUAACUGACGCUGAUGCACGAAAGCGUGGGGAUCAAA
rnacentral:rRNA from 1 species